UACGUAGGUGGCGAGCGUUGUCCGGAUUUACUGGGCGUAAAGGGAGCGUAGGCGGACUUUUAAGUGAGAGGUGAAAUACCCGGGCUCAACUUGGGUGCUGCAUUUCAAACUGGAAGUCUAGGGUGCAGGAGAGGAGAAUGGAAUUCCUAGUGUAGCGGUGAAAUGCGUAGAGAUUAGGAAGAACACCAGUGGCGAAGGCGAUUCUCUGGACUGUAACUGACGCUGAGGCUCGAAAGCGUGGGGAGCAAACAGGAUUAGAUACCCUGGUAGU
rnacentral:rRNA from 1 species